rnacentral:rRNA from 1 species
UACGAAGGGGGCUAGCGUUGCUCGGAAUCACUGGGCGUAAAGCGCACGUAGGCGGGGCUUUAAGUCAGGGGUGAAAUCCUGGAGCUCAACUCCAGAACUGCCUUUGAUACUGAGGAUCUCGAGUCCGGGAGAGGUGAGUGGAACUCCGAGUGUAGAGGUGAAAUUCGUAGAUAUUCGGAAGAACACCAGUGGCGAAGGCGGCUCACUGGCCCGGUACUGACGCUGAUGUGCGAAAGCGUGGGGAGCAAACAGG